AUAAUACUCUCGGCAAUGGAUAUCUAGGCCCUAGCAUCGAUGAAGAAUGUAGCAAAAUGAGAUACUUGGUAUGAAUUGCAGAAUCCCUUGAACCAUCAAGUCAUUGAACACAAGUUGCGCCCGGAGCCUUCAGGCCGAGGGCACGCCUGCCUGGGCAUCACGC
rnacentral:rRNA from 1 species